UCCGGAUCAGCUUCAACCCCCUUUGAAGAAAUUAUAAAACCAAGGAAAACAACCUUGGGCAGCAUGAAGGAACAUUUCUUUAAAUUGAUAAACAACUUCUCUUGCCGGAGUACUCGGAGAACUUGUUUCAGGUGAUUCUGCUGCUCUUCUU